AUAAAUGCUUCGAAAAUUUAUAAUUAUUCUUCUGGGUUGAUGCAUUUUGAGUUCCUUUCUUUUGAGUUAUGAUAAAUAUGCAUGAUACGGUCUGCAGCUUAUCGCCUGUUCUUUUAGAGUGCAAUGUAUAAACAGACCUCUUAGACAUCUCUUAGCAUUGUUAUACAAAAAAUAGAUGCUCUUAGUAUAAUCUCUAUAACGUGCAUUGUUUGCAUCAACCAUUGAGGUUUGGUAUCCUGGAUAGAACUCCCAGUCUUGUAUAGUUGAUAUCUGUUAGUCUACUGUUUUGAAACCUUGGUGUCACAUGAUUAUGGCAUUCAUUG
rnacentral:lncRNA from 1 species